rnacentral:misc_RNA from 1 species
CCGGUCGAGCCUCGAGACAAAGAGUGGCGAUCCUUGCAGUUGUUGCAAUUUCACUCAUCAAAACGUUAAAGUUUACUGACUAAUACAUAUUUUAUUCAUGCUUGAUCACAACAUGACAAAACAUAAUGUAGCUAUGUCAACAUAAUCUUUAGGCAAAGUCGUUAGGCAGAACAAGCCUCUGAGAGUAUCGCAGCGUGUAGGCAGGAAGGGUAAAGGCGCGCAGGCGGG